rnacentral:lncRNA from 1 species
GAGAUCAGAUCUACAAAAAAGAAAAAGGAGCUUCCUCUUCAAUCCAAAAGGGACCGGAGCUCCCAAGAGAGAACGACUGACCUACCCCAUCAAAAAAUUUCAUUCUCUCUUUGAUUUAAAGAAAACGAUCGAACUCCACCUCCCAGACAAAAGGCAACGGCCAAAUCUCUCUUCCUUUCACCUAAAGAUUUCUUUCGCAGGUAGAGGUAGAAGUGAAGAAACGAAAUAGUGAUGGAAAUUUGGCAUUUUCCAUAAGUCACUUUGAAAUUCAGUCCAAGUUGUCAACUCAAGCGCAGUCUUAGACUCAAAAAUCGGUCCAGAUUGUUGAUUUCCAUUUCGAAAUUUCAAGCUCCUGCUUAACCUGAAAGCAUUCGUUGUUGUUGGGUUCGUUGAGGUUUCCGGCGAGGUGGACGUCGCCCAUUCCAGCUCAUUUCAGGCUUUUAUUUGGUACUUCGAACUGUUUCCUUGAUUUCAAUAGUUUUUGUUCGAGGUCAGAGAUUUCCGGCGAGGUUUCCGGGUGGAUUUGGGUUCCGUCGAGUUAUCGCUGUCCAAAUUUGCUGGUGUCUAUCGUUUUCAGAACCAAAUUUCUUUGUAUCGAGGUCAAUUUCUUUCUUUAAUCUUAAAUUUCCUUUCUAUUUCCUAGUCAUUAAGUUUUGAUGAUUAUCAAUAUCGUGUAGUUGUUACGCUUGUUUUGUUGCUUGUUUGAAGCUCUCUUAAUUUGGUUCCUCUAUGUCAAAGUUUUCAUCGAUGCAGUCUUUUGGAACAAACAUGAAUUAGCCAAUUAUUUUAUUUUUAUUAGAAGUGUGAAUGCAUAUGAUCCGUUUAGUUAAUUGUUCUUUUGGAUUAAAACUUGUCGAAAUGAUGUUGCAUAUAUGGUUUUGCACGAUUCUUUGUGGUAUCCUUUGAUAUUCCAUUGAAAUUUGCUUGAGUCUUGUUUCCAGAUUCGUAGAUGCAAUUAAAGUGACAAUGAGAUUUUUUCUUAUGAGUUUUGAAGUAGGCUAGUUAUAUAUUUACCUUAACCGAAUGGCCUUAAGCUUGAAUUAUAUAACAUGUUUGAUUUAAUCAGUUGGGUUGCUUUAUAUUCCUUGCUUAUUAUCGUAGUUUGCUUUAGGUGCGUUAUUUUAUAUUUAUUUUCUUUUGUUUUAUUAAACUCGGGUGCGCAUUUAUGUGACCCAAAUCCAAAUCUCAACAACGUUAGAUAAAAUGUGUUGUGGACUGCGGGUGCAUUUAUGUGACAUAGUUCAAGACGUGUUUCAUGUAAUGUUGAAUCUUCCUUAAAAUAAGUAAAAGCGGUUAAAUAAGUUAAAAUAUACCAUAGGCUAAAACAUGUAUUAAAAUCAGAUAAAGCUGGAUAUAACAGUUGAGCGACCGUGCUAGAACCACGAAACUCGGGAAUGGCUAACACUUUCUCCUGGAUUAACAGAAUUCCUUACCCGGAUUUCUAGUUCGCAGACUAUAAUAUAGAGUCAAUCUUUUCCUCGAUUCGGGAUUCUAAACCGGUGACUUGGGACACCAUAAAUUACCCCAAGUGGCGACUCUGAAUUUUAAUAAAAUAAUCUCGUUUCGAUUAUCACUUCAAAUGGAAAAACUCCCUUAUACACCCUUUUCCGAGGGUGUAGGUAAAAAGGAGGUGUGACACACAUGAUCGGGAGAUUAAGGCUAUCAUGGAUUACCAGGCCAGGCAAAAACAAAGGCAGAAAGCAACUUCUAUGUUCCUCGUCCAUUGGAAGUUGUUCGGGUUUUGCUGUGGAGACUCAAGGUAUACCUGUUAUUGCGUUCGCAGGCCUUGGAGUCACAUUUUGAUAUUAUAAUUAUAUUGUCUAUUUCUAUUUUGGAACAGUUGUACUUAGAAUAUUUCUCCUAGUAAGUUCAAUAGAGCUUAUGACUUGUACUACUACUUUUGGGUAUUGUAUUGCACUCGGGAGUAUUGGUUCACUAUGGAAAAAUCCAAUUCAU